rnacentral:rRNA from 1 species
GACGAACGCUGGCGGCGUGCCUAAUACAUGCAAGUCGAACGGUCUUUUCUAUGGAAGCUUGCUUCCACUGAGAAGAUAGUGGCGAACGGGUGAGUAACACGUAUGCAACCUACCUAUCAGAGGGGGAAUAACCCGGCGAAAGUCGGACUAAUACCGCAUAAAACAGGGGCACCGCAUGGUGAUAUUUGUUAAAGAAUUCGCUGAUAGAUGGGCAUGCGUUCCAUUA